rnacentral:rRNA from 1 species
UACGUAGGGCGCAAGCGUUGUCCGGAAUCAUUGGGCGUAAAGAGCGUGUAGGCGGCUUUACAGGUCCGCUGUGAAAACUCGAGGCUCAACCUCGAGCUGUCGGUGGAAACCGUAAGGCUAGAGUCCGGAAGAGGAGAGUGGAAUUCCCGGUGUAGUGGUGAAAUGCGUAGAGAUCGGGAGGAACACCCGUGGCGAAGGCGGCCAACUGGGCCGGCCCUGACGCUGAGGCGCGAAGGCGUGGGGAGCGAACGGG